AUGCUUUUUGAUAGACACAAAGUGAAUUAUUCUUUUGUCUUUUACUAAAGAAUACCAUGUGCUUUCCACUAAAAAUGGCAUACAUUAAUUUUUGAAAGGACUCUUUUUACUAAGGAGCU